CCCUUAGAUGUUCUGGGCUGCACGCGUGUUACAAUCGGGAGUACAACAAGAUUGCAAAUCCUAGUGGAUGAGUGGUUCUUCGAAAUUUUCUGAAGACUGGGAUAGUUGAUUGAAAUUAUUCAACUCAAACGAGGAAUUCCUUGUAAUUGUAAUUCAUUAUAUUGUAAUGAAUACGUCCCUGCCCUUUGCACACACCGCCCGUCGCUCCUACCGAUUGAACGAUCCGGUGAAUUAUUUGGAGUAGCUCUGGAAGUUGCAGAACUUCCUAUGUCACGAAAUUUUGUAAACCUUAUCGUUUAGAGGAAGGAAAAGUCGUAACA
rnacentral:rRNA from 1 species